UACGUAGGGUGCGAGCGUUGUCCGGAAUUAUUGGGCGUAAAGGGCUCGUAGGCGGUCUGUCACGUCGGGAGUGAAAACUCAGGGCUUAACCCUGAGCCUGCUUCCGAUACGGGCUGACUAGAGGUAUGCAGGGGAGAACGGAAUUCCUGGUGUAGCGGUGAAAUGCGCAGAUAUCAGGAGGAACACCGGUGGCGAAGGCGGUUCUCUGGGCAUUACCUGACGCUGUGGAGCGAAAGUGUGGGGAGCGAACAGG
rnacentral:rRNA from 1 species